rnacentral:siRNA from 1 species
CAGUCGGUAGACGGUUUUGUCCGC